rnacentral:lncRNA from 1 species
UUAGUUCUUUUUGUCUUUUUGAAAGUUUAAGUCAAGUAUAGUUAAGUUUAUUUACAAGUUUGAUUUAAGAAAAGAAGUUUGAAAAUUCAAUGGCAUAAGGCCAAAGUUUCUAUCUUUUUUGCAAAAGUGGUUAAAGUUUAGAACAAAAUAAGUUCAAACAAAGAAGGUUUUGAAAAGGGAGGGAGAGAUUUUGAAAUUAAAG